UCGGGAUAGCUCAGUUGGUAGA
rnacentral:tRNA from 2 species